rnacentral:rRNA from 1 species
GACGAACGCUGGCGGCGUGCCUAAUACAUGCAAGUUGAGCGCUGAAGGUUGGUACUUGUACCAACUGGAUGAGCAGCGAACGGGUGAGUAACGCGUGGGUAAUCUGCCUUUGAGCGGGGGACAACAUUUGGAAACGAAUGCUAAUACCGCAUAAAAUCUUUAAACACAAGUUUUAAGUUUGAAAGAUGCAAUUGCAUCACUCAAAGAUGAUCCCGCGUUGUAUUGGCUAGUUGGUGAGGUAAAGCUCACCAAGGCGAUGAUACAUAGCCGACCCGAGAGGGUGAUAGGCCACAUUGGGACUGAGACACGGCCCAAACUCCUACGGGAGGCAGCAGUAGGGAAUCUUCGGCAAUGGACGAAAGUCUGACCGAGCAACGCCGCGUGAGUGAAGAAGGUUUUCGGAUCGUAAAACUCUGUUGGUAGAGAAGAACGUUGGUGAGAGUGGAAAGCUCAUCAAGUGACGGUAACUACCCAGAAAGGGACGGCUAACUACGUG